GAAGAGGUUCCAUUCGGAACCAUAACAAGAGCAAUAAUAGUGGAAU
rfam:Anopheles funestus strain FTMOZ unplaced genomic scaffold supercont1.13, whole genome shotgun sequence.